rnacentral:rRNA from 1 species
UCGAGAGUAUUUAGCAAUGGACGAAAGUCUGACUAUGCGACGCCGCGUGAGUGAUGAAGGUCUUCGGAUCGUAAAACUCUGUCAGGUCGGAGGAAGCCUUCGGAACUAAUAAUUCCAAAAGGUGACAGUACGAUCAGAGGAAGCCACGGCUAACUCCGUGCCAGCAGCCGCGGUAAUACGGAGGUGGCAAGCGUUACUCGGAAUUAUUGGGUGUAAAGGGUAUGUAGGUGGUUUUGUUAGUCGAGUGUGAAAUCCCAUGGCUCAACCAUGGAACUGCAUUCGAUACUGCAAGACUUGAGCACAGUAGAGGAGAUCAGAAUUCUCGGUGUAAGGGUGAAAUCUGUAGAUAUCGAGAGGAAUACCAAUGGCGAAAGCAGAUCUCUAGGCUGAGGCUGACACUGAAAUACGAAAGCUAGGGGAGCAAACAGG